GAGUCGGCCAGGCGGCCGCGGAUCGCGCCAGGUGCGCGAAUUCGAGGAAAGUCCGGACUCCACAGGGCAGGGUGGUCGGUAACACCGACCCGGGGUGACCCGCGGGCCAGUGCCACAGAAAGCAAACCGCCACCGCGUGCGGUGGUAAGGGUGAAAGGGUGGUGUAAGAGACCACCAGUGGCCGGAGUGAUCCGGUCGGCUCGGUAAACCCCACCCGGAGCAAGGUCAAGAGGGGACCCCAGGGUCCCUGCGCGGAUGUUCGAGGGAUGCCCGCCCGAGUCCGCGGGUGGACCGCACCGAGGUCGUCGGCAACGACGGUCCCAGAUGGAUGGUCGCCAGGUCCUUUCAGGACCGACAGAAUCCGGCUUAUCGGCCGACUCC
rnacentral:RNase_P_RNA from 1 species